AAGGNGUAAUACCGCAUAGGAAGUUUGUUCGCAUGAACAAACUUAGAAAGAUGGCUCUGCUAUCACUUAUCGAUGGCCUUGCGGUGCAUUAACUAGUUGGCGAGGUAACGGCUCACCAAGGUGAUGAUGCAUAGCCGACCUGAGAGGGUAAUCGGCCACAUUGGGACUGAGACACGGCCCAAACUCCUACGGGAGGCAGCAGCA
rnacentral:rRNA from 1 species